CUUUGACUUGGAGUCAAGAUGUGCUGUACAGUUUGGUGCUGAGUGCUCUGGACGCCCCAGCAGGGCCGGAGAAAAUCUGCAGAGGCAGCAGCAACUGGUGGGAGAACUGGGGAUUUCAACAGUUGCGUGGUCCCAGAAUGACAGAGUUGGCAAACCAGGUUUGACCCCUGAGACUACACACCUAACGGCUUGGCUAGAACCGUUUUAAAGGCUCAACCACUCAGUGAGGAAACUCAAUAAUUCUGGUAUUUCCUAUUUUGAGAUUCAAAAUGAUAAAGUAAUUUGCUAAAGCCAUACAAAGGAAUGCUUUGUAGGAUUGCUCUGAUUCCUACCUUCUUGGGGAAUAACUAUUGGGAAGCAGAUCAAGCUGCAUUUGAAGAAGUAACUAGAUGAGUGCUCCCAUUUAUUUCUUGUUUUAAGGGUUUCAGUGGUUCCUGUUUGCCCGAGGCAAAAAACAGAGCUCCUUGGAGUGCCCUUCACAAUUGCCACAAUCCAAUGUACUUUCUG
rnacentral:lncRNA from 10 species